rnacentral:rRNA from 1 species
AUUGAACGCUGGCGGCAUGCUUUACACAUGCAAGUCGAACGGUAACAGGCCGCAAGGUGCUGACGAGUGGCGAACGGGUGAGUAAUGCAUCGGAACGUGCCCAGUCGUGGGGGAUAACGCAGCGAAAGCUGCGCUAAUACAGCAUACGAUAUAUGGAUGAAAGCGGGGGACCGUAAGGCCUUGCGCGAUUGGAGCGGCCGAUGUCAGAUUAGGUGGGUGGUGGGGUAAAGGCUCACCAAGCCAACGAUCUGUAGCUGGUCUGAGAGGACGACCAGCCACACUGGGACUGAGACACGGCCCAGACUCCUACGGGAGGCAGCAGUGGGGAAUUUUGGACAAUGGGCGCAAGCCUGAUCCAGCAAUGCCGCGUGCAGGAAGAAGGCCUUCGGGUUGUAAACUGCUUUUGUACGGAACGAAACGGUCCUGGUUAAUACCUGGGGCUAAUGACGGUACCGUAAGAAUAAGCACCGGCUAACUACGUGCCAGCAGCCGCAGUAAAAC